AUAGAUACCCAGGUAGGUCCACGCCCUAAACGAUGCGAACUGGAUGUUGGGUACAUUACGGUACUCAGUGUCGAAGCCAACGCGUUAAGUUCGCCGCCUGGGGAGUACGGUCGCAAGACUGAAACUCAAAGGAAUUGACGGGGGCCCGCACAAGCGGUGGAGUAUGUGGUUUAAUUCGAUGCAACGCGAAGAACCUUACCUGGCCUUGACAUCUGUCGAAUCCUGCAGAGAUGCGGGAGUGCCGCAAGGAACGACAAGACAGGUGCUGCAUGGCUGUCGUCAGCUCGUGUCGUGAGAUGUUGGGUUAAGUCCCGCAACGAGCGCAACCCUUGUCCCUAGUUGCCAACACGUAAUGGUGGGAACUCUAGGGAGACUGCCGGUGACAAACCGGAGGAAGGUGGGGAUGACGUCAAGUCCUCAUGGCCCUUAGGCCAGGGCUACACACGUACUACAAUGGUCGGUACAGAGGGUUGCGAAGCCGCGAGGCGGAGCCAAUCCCAGAAGCCGAUCCCAGUCCGGAUUGGAGUCUGC
rnacentral:rRNA from 1 species